rnacentral:rRNA from 1 species
AGCGAACGCUGGCGGCAGGCUUAACACAUGCAAGUCGAACGCCCCGCAAGGGGAGUGGCAGACGGGUGAGUAACACGUGGGAACGUACCCUUUGGUUCGGAAUAACUUGGGGAAACUCAAGCUAAUACCGGAUAAGCCCUUAUGGGGAAAGGUUUACUGCCGAAGGAUCGGCCCGCGUCUGAUUAGCUAGUUGGUGAGGUAAUGGCUCACCAAGGGGACGAUCAGUAGCUGGUCGGAGAGGAUGAUCAGCCACACUGGGACUGAGACACGGCCACGACUCCUCCGGGGGGCAGGAGUGGGAAAUAUGAGACAAGGGGGGCAACCCUUAUCCGGCCAUGCCGCGUGAGUGAUGAAGGCCUUAGGGUUGUAAAGCUUUUUUACCCGGGACGAUAAUGACUGUACCGGGAGAAUAAGCCCCGGCUAACUUCGUGCCAGCCGCCGCGGUAA